CCUGACACAGGGAGGUAGUGACAAGAAAUAACAAUACAGAGCAAUCCGUUUUGUAAUUGGAAUGAUGGUGACGUAAAAGCUCACCAAAGUACCAAUUGGAGGGCAAGUCUGGUGCCAGCAGCCGCGGUAAUUCCAGCUCCAAUAGCGUAUAUUAAACUUGUUGCAGUUAAAAAGCUCGUAGUUGUAUUUCAGCCUCGCGACUUGUCCAUUUUUUUGGUUCACUUCGCUGGCUUUUGUUUUACUUUGAGAAAAUUAGAGUGUUUCAAGCAGACUUUUUGUCUUGA
rnacentral:rRNA from 1 species